AUGGGCAAGGAUGACGACGUCUCCCGCGCCGUCGUGGAGGACGACACCGCGCUCCUCCUCGCGGCGGUGGACAGCAUCAAGAAGGCGGCGCUGGGUCGGCUGCGCAACGGCUCCGACGCCGCCAGGAUCCUCGACCAGGAGAUGUCCAACAGGCUCCUCCACCUCGCCUGCAGGCACGACGUCGCCGAGUGCGCCAGGCUCCUCCUCGACGGUGAGUACGGGAUCACGCCGGCCUCCGUCGACGCCAGGGACCAGCUCACGCGUACACCGCUCCACGUCGCCGCCGAGGGGCACUCCAAGAGGUGCCUCCAGCUGCUCCUCUCCAGGAACGCCCGGACGGACGUCAGGCUGCUCGACGGCACACGCCUAGUCGCGCUCGAGGUCGCGCUCAUGAGCAGAAGGGUUCAAGUUGAUUGGUCACCGGACAACUCGGUCGAGGAUCUUCUGGUUUAUCUGCAACAAAAGGAUCUGAACGCGGUGAGGCUUCUGGCAGAGAAGACCAGGGAGGUUGGGGAGGUGGCUUACAGAUACGCCAUGGAGGGGCGUGUCGCUGCACUUGCAAUGCUGCUCCUGGUGGCUGAGGAAAGGAUAUCGGCGAUGGUGAGCGUGGUGAUUGAUGGCGUCAGGACCAAGAGAUCAAUUUACAACUCUGUUGUGGAUGAGGUUCUGUCGAUUGGAGAGGCUUCAGCUAGAGACGGCAAUGAAAUGAGGAGGAAAGCCUUGCUCUGUGAGAUUCAGCUGCUUAACCAAUUUGGGGCCACGUCGUGGAGGGACCAAAAAGUUGACAGGAGAAGCUUGCCCCCUCUACUUAGGGCUGCAAAGGCCGGAGAUAUGAAUGUCACAAAGAUGCUUCUGAUGGGGGAUGUUGAUGUCAAUGAAACCGACCCCAAAGGAAACACGGCACUUCACUCUUUCCUCAGUAGUAGCUCAAGCACACAGGAGCCAAGGAUUGAGUGGCUCCUGCUGAAGAAUGGUGCCAGAGUUUUCCAGGGGAACAAACUAGGUCUCACACCAGUGCACAGUACUGCAGCUAAGGAUAAUUACAAGGCUCUUCAGUCACUUCUGCUUCAUGCACAAGAUUGCGUUGAUAUACCUUCCAAGACCAAAGAAACCCCAUUAUUCCUUGCAGCGAAAAAUGGUUCUUUGAGCUGUGUACGACUUCUUUUGCGUUAUGGGGCUAACCCCAAAGCCCAGAACCUACGAAAGCAAAGACCAAUAGACGUGGCGACAUCCCAGGACAUGCGGUUUCUUCUCAACUCCGCAAAUGUUGUACCAAUGAACCAUGGCUCAAUGGAAAAGAACCAUGCAAUGAAAAAAGAAAGGCACAAAGAGCUUCUGGAUGAUGAUUUCGAUGAUUAUGACAACGACGAUUAUUAUGAAAGCUAUGUUGUGCCAAAGGCGUCAGUAGGUCACGGGGAUUUUCGUUCCAGCAAUUUAUCUGCCCAAGGGGCUAAAAGUAAGAGCCACAGUGCCCCGAAAGAAGGUCCCAAAUUAUCUCAGCAUAAUGAUCAUUGGGAGAAGCAUGACUACACUCGCAAAAUCUUUGUUGGGGGUCUCCCGCUUACGGUAGACGAUGUGUACCUUAGCAGAUUCUUCAGUACUGAAUUCGGACCUGUGGAGGAAGCAAUGGUUAUUACUUUAAAAAUAGACAACAGAUACGCCAUGGAGGGUCAUGUCGCUACACUCGCAAUGCUCCUGGUGGCUGAGGACAGGAUAUCGGCGACGGUGAUAGACGGCGUCAGGACAAAGAGAUCAAUUUACAACUCUGUUGUGGAUGAGGUCCUGUCGAUUGGAGAGGCUUCAGCUAGAAAUGGCAAUGAAAUGAGGAAAGUCUUGCUCUGUGAGAUUCAGCUGCUUAACCAAUUUGGGGCCACGUCGUGGAGGGACCGAAAAGUUGACAGGAGAAGCUUGCCCCCUCUACUUUGGGGUGCAAAGGCCGGAGAUAUGAAUGUCACAAAGAUGCUUCUGAUGGGGGAUGUUGAUGUCAAUGAAACCGACCCGGAAGGAAAGACAGCACUUCACUGCUGCCUCAGUAGUAGCUCAAGCACACAAGAGCCAAGGACUGAGUGGCUCCUGCCGAAGAAUGGAGCCAGAGUUUUCCAGGGGAACAAACUAGGUCUCACACCAGUGCACAGCGAUGCAGCUAAGAUCAAUUACAAGGCUGUUCAGAGUUCAAGUGAGGAGGCCGGUUGGACGAACGAGAUGAGUAAAGACAACGACGUCCCCCGCACCGUCGUGGAGGACGACACCGGCCUUCUCCUCUGGGCAGGGGACAUCUCCAGGAAGUUGGCCUCUUCCUUGACCUACUCCGGACUGGCAGUAAUUUUUCUGCUACUUCUGCUACUGUCUUUCUCGCAAGCAUCUGCGACAUGUGACAGGGAAGGUGCUUGGAAAAUAGCAGUGAAUUGUCUCGACACCAGCCAACCGUCUUCACCAACGACUACCGGCGAGCUGCCGCCGCCUCCACCAGAAGCAGGUCUCGAGGCUCCACCUCCACCGGCAGCAAAUCUUGAGGUGCCACCGCCGCCGCCUCCAGCCGGGGCCGCCAUCCCCCCGCCUUCACCAGCGACUAUGGUCGAGUCGCCGGCGCCUCCAGCAGGAGCCGCCGUGGUGGUGCCAGCGCAUCCAGCCGGGACAGCGGCGGUGCUGCCGUCGCCUGAAGCCGGGGUUAUCGCGUCGGGGGACACCAAAGAGGACCGCAUCUACAAGUGGCUUUUCGUUGGUUUAUUGCUCGCCCUCCUAUUCUCUCUUCUGUUAGCACUGGUUAUUAUGAUAGGAGGGCCGUGCACAUUCCGGCUGCGCAUCUCUCUAAUAUGUUGUUUGUGCUCACUGGAACGAAGCUCCCCAAGCUCUGCUGUGCCUGUAAUCCCCGGGGACGUCGAGCAAUCGGGCCGCGAGCCGGGGCAGCGGCUGAACGGAGCGGUGCCGAGCUGGAAGAGCAGCUGCACGACAGACGCGUGA
rnacentral:rRNA from 1 species